rnacentral:rRNA from 1 species
UACGUAGGUGGCAAGCGUUGUCCGGAUUUACUGGGCGUAAAGAGCGCGCAGGCGGUCGAUUAAGUCGAAUGUGAAAGCCCCCGGCUUAACUGGGGAGGGUCAUUCGAUACUGAUCGACUUGAAGGCAGGAGAGGGAAGCAGAAUUCCCGGUGUAGUGGUGAAAUGCGUAGAUAUCGGGAGGAAUACCAGUGGCGAAGGCGGCUUCCUGGCCUGUUCUUGACGCUGAGGCGCGAAAGCUAGGGUAGCAAACGGG